CAUUGAAACACCGGUUCUCGUACGAUCACCGAAGUUAAGCAAUAUCGAAUUUUCUCACUAUAUAGAUGGGUGACCGCUUGGGAAUAGAAGGUGCUGUAUG